AGCGAACUUAACUAAAUGAAUGCGGUGCUUGCACCAAGUGAUUCUCUAACAGUGAGCGGCGGAUGGGUGAGUAACAUGUGGGUAACCUGCCUCUAAGCAGGGGAUAACAUUUGGAAACAGAUGCUAAUACCGUAUAAAUCCUCAAACCACAUGGUUUGAGGCUGAAAGGCGGCUUCGGCUGUCACUUAGAGAUGGACCCGCGGCGUAUUAGCUAGUUGGUGAGGUAAUGGCUCACCAAGGCAAUGAUACGUAGCCGAACUGAGAGGUUGAUCGGCCACAUUGGGACUGAGACACGGCCCAAACUCCUACGGGAGGCAGCAGUAGGGAAUCUUCCACAAUGGACGCAAGUCUGAUGGAGCAACGCCGCGUGAGUGAAGAAGGCUUUCGGGUCGUAAAACUCUGUUGUUGAAGAAGAACACGUUUGAGAGUAACUGUCCAGACGUUGACGGUAUUCAACCAGAAAGCCACGGCUAACUACGUGCCAGCAGCCGCGGUAAUACGUAGGUGGCAAGCGUUAUCCGGAUUUAUUGGGCGUAAAGCGAGCGCAGGCGGUUUUUUAAGUCUGAUGUGAAAGCCCUCGGCUUAACCGAGGAAGUGCAUCGGAAACUGGGAAACUUGAAUGCUGAAGAGGACAGUGGAACUCCAUGUGUAGCGGUGAAAUGCGUAGAUAUAUGGAAGAACACCAGUGGCGAAGGCGGCUGUCUGGUCAGUUAUUGACGCUGAGGCUCGAAAGCAUGGGUAGCGAACAGGAUUAGAUACCCUGGUAGUCCAUGCCGUAAACGAUGAAUACUAGGUGUUGGAGGGUUUCCGCCCUUCAGUGCCGCAGCUAACGCAUUAAGUAUUCCGCCUGGGGGAGUACGACCGCAAGGUUGAAACUCAAAGGAAUUGACGGGGGCCCGCACAAGCGGUGGAGCAUGUGGGUUUAAUUCGAAGCAACGCGAAGAACCUUACCAGGUCUUGACAUCUUCUGCUAUUUCUAGAAAAAAGAAAGUUCCCUUCGGGGACGGAAUGACAGGUGGGUG
rnacentral:rRNA from 1 species